rnacentral:rRNA from 1 species
AAUUGCAUGGCACUUCUAAUCUAACACCAAGCGAAUCAUCGAGUCUUUGAACGCAAACGGCACCCUUCCAGUCCAUUCCAAAGCGGUGGCGGAGGAUGAAGACAAGGGUAUCUCUGGCUGAGGGUAAUGAG